rnacentral:RNase_P_RNA from 1 species
AUCUAGAGAACAGACCGCCUCCGCUUGUCGGAGGUAAGGGUGAAACGGUGGGGUAAGAGCCCACCGCGGGACUGGCAACAGGACCGGCAAGGCAAGCCCCACCGGGAGCAAUGCCGAAUAGGGACCCCGCGCAGGCCAGACCUGCAGGGCGGCUUCGGCCCAGGGGUCCGGGUUGGCAGCUUGAGCGUAUCGGUAACGGUACGCCCAGAGGAAUGGUCAUCCAGGGGGCCUCGCGCCCCCGGACAGAAUCCGGCUUACAGGCCGUCCGCGCAU